UCCCACCUACGUGUAACUCCCCCUUUUAUUCAUCCCACUCUCUUACUGCUGAGCUGCUCAUUUAUCACACCGGAGAGAGAGAGCGCAACGGCCGACGGAGGGAUGUGAGAGAGAUGUUGGCGGUUGCGGUGCCCGUGGCGGAGACGCGACGGCUGCCAUCGUGGCUUCUUCGACAAGCGCUUUGAUUUUGUGGCCUUCUACGACUCUCUUUAUGCGGCCACGUUUCCGAUUACUUUUUUGGCCACCUUCUUUCAUAAAGAUCGGUGACCUAGGGUUCUGUCGGGUGCACCUGAUAACCAUACGAUCUUGCAUGUACCAAAAUCGAGUUGAUUGGUGUCAUCUGAGCCACCGAGGACUGUUAAGUGAGACAAAGAUCUCUUCCAUGUGAUGCAUCUGAAUGGGUGGCUGUUCUUCUUGCCGAUCUUAUGCUUUGUUUUCAGGGCUUUAUUGAAGGUGUUGAUUUCUUGAUUACUGGCUAUUUGGAUGACGCAAGCCAUGUACCUGAUUGACUAUAUAUUAUCAGGUAAGUGUAUUACAGGUUUUAGCUUAGAUUUGGAAGACGGAAGCAUAUCAAGAUUCAGUUCUUCAACUGCUUAUGCCACAAAGAUUGUGAAGAUAGCAAGGUUCCUGGCUUGAAAAAAUUGAAUUUAGUGAGGGGAAUCUAAGAUGACCUCAUCGGUUGUUAUCAAGUUGGUUCUUACUUCGCUUUUUGCCACGAUUUUGGUUGCAGUUGCGGUGCUACCAUAGCUGUGGAACCUAGGGUUUGAGCUAGCCCGAAAAGAAAGUAGGGAGAAGACCCCUACAUCUGUCACAACUCACAACAUCACAAGGUAAGUUCUUCGGUAACCUUCCUGUCUUCUCCGAGUUCGGUUGUUGAUUUAUGUUUAGUUUUGAAUACGGAUAAUUGAAUUGCAUCGUUGAAAGUCUGAUAAGGGGUGCUACAUUGUCGAUUUGAAUUGCCAUCGUUGGAAGUCUGAAAAGUAUCUUUAUCGCGUGUUAAUUUGAUUUCAAGUUUUGUGCACAUUGAGUUUAGUCAAUUUUGUAUGGAGAAACUUUCAGUUUAGUCGAAAUGGAGGCUAUGUGCAUCGUUGUGUUGUAAUGUACUACCCUGCAGCUCAUUUAUAUCAAAUCGUGACUCUUACAUCUUGAAUAUGUGUGUUGUAUGCUUGCUAAGCAGGCAACUAAUCGGGAUUCCUUUUGCUUAAAGAAUUCUGUAAAUUGACUUUCUUUAGGUCAACUGCAUGCCAAUUUUGACGGAGGUCGGAGGGUUGAGAGAGAGUUAUGAUCCAAUAUAUUUCCUUGGAUUUUGUUUUUCAUAGCUUUUGGUAACAUACCUGUUAAAUUAGACAUCUAUUUAGGGACUGUAAGCAUGAUAAGUUCUAAACAUGGUGAUUACCAUUGUAGUUUCGAAUACUUAAGAACCAAACCUAAAACGAACUGUGAAUCAAAGCAACUAUUCGUGUAAUUUAAGCUUCUUUUGUUCGUUUUAUUUUUAUUAUUAUUUUCUAUGCAAUGCAAGGCUGAACCACUAGCUUCUUUUCUCGAAUGGGAAUUCGUUAACACCCACACAAAACGGCUCGACUGGAACUCUAGGAUGAAUAUAAUAGCAGUUGGUGCAGCAAGAGGGUUAGAGUAUUUACAUGACAAUUGAACCCAUUGGUUAUAUAUCGGGAUAUGAAGGGUCCAAAUAUUUUGCUAGGUGAGGAUUAUAAUGUAAAAUUAUCGGACUUUGGCUUGGCAAAAGUGGGCGCGCUUGGAGUUGUUUCGACCCGAGUGAUGGCCAUUUAUGGGUAUUGUUGCAAUUAAGGGACAACUGACUGAAGGUUAGCCCUUACCUUGGAAGGAAUUUGGCCUGGCUCACAACAAAAGCAUUGAAACUGGCCCCAACCUGUAACUUGGUGAGCAAUAGAGCUGCAGAAUAUUGAUUAUCACAACACGUCAUCAACAUCUUACACUGGACCAAAGUGUAAAAUGCAGGGACCAAAGUGUUUUAAUGCAGGGACCAAAGUGUAAAAUGCAGGGACCAAAGUGGAAAAUGCAGAACAUUUAAACCCUUUCUCGCGCCGCGAAAUUCUUAACGCCAUUUGUUUUUUUUUUGAUCAUGGCGC